rnacentral:rRNA from 1 species
CUUACAAUGAAAAAAACCGAUAGGCACUUUUAUAUUAGUAGAAAUUAAGUAAAGAGAAAUGAAAUGUAGUAUUUGUACCUUUUGUAUCAGGGGAUUUUAAAAGUAGACUUAUAAGGGUGUCGAGUCGAUUGGAUCUUUAAAGAGAGCAGUAGUAAUAUUUAUUGAUUUUAGGUGUUAAGAGGUGAAAAGCAGGCGACAGUCGUGAUAACUAAUUGUUUUAUAGUUUAAAAAGUAAAGUUUUUAAAGUUCUAUAAAAAUUAAUUGUAAAAAUAACUGAGCUUUAAAUUAGCUAUGUUAAUAAAUUGUUUUAAAUAAUUAUAGAAUGAAGAGUUAAGUAGAGUUAUUUGACAAUAUAAAGAAAUAAUGGUUAAUAGGGAUAAUGAAGUUAUUGAAUAGCUAAUGGAAUUUUAAAAAAACUCGGGUUAUGCUAGAUAGUUUAACAAAAACAUUUUUAUUUGUAGAGUAGAAGAUAAAACCUGCCCAGUGCGUUGUAAACGGCUGCAGUAUUUUGACUGUGCUAAGGUAGCGUAGUCAUUUGCUACUUAAUUGGUAGCUAGUAUGAAUGGUUAAACUAGUUUAACUGGUUUGUAAAUUUAAUAAGAAAUUUAAGUAGGGGUAAGAAUUCUUCUGUUUGCUAGGGGACGAUAAGACCCUAAAAGCUUAACUAGCAAUAUAUUUGUGGUUGUGGUAAGUAGUUGGUUUUACUGGGGCGGUAAUAGUAUUUAAACUGCUAUAUAUUUCGAUGAUCCUGGUUUAUUCAGAUAAAAGGGAUAAGUUACUUUAGGGGUAACAGUACAAUAGAUUUGGAGAGAUCAUAUCGAUAAAUAAGUUUGUAACCUCGAUGUU